rnacentral:lncRNA from 1 species
CCAGCUAGUAUUUAUUUUUGAUUAUACCUGUAUAUCAUUUUAACGAGACAAAACCUGUUUUAACAAUUAUAUAUUUUAACUUGUUAUUCUAGUCCUUUAUAUUACUCGAGACACUUGACAUUUUUCAGCAGAUAGACGAGCUUCUAUAUGGCUAACUAUUUUUUUACAGAGAAGAGAGUUCGAUGUUGUUUUUUAGCAAUGUAUAUUUAAAACAAAUUUCUUAUACGUAUAUAGUAACGAAAAUAUCGAUUCAUAUUAUUAUUAUUAUUAUUAUAAGCUCUCUCUUUAUUCAGGGAGACACCGUUCGUGUAUAUAUUUAUCAUUUUAGGGUCCUAAUUUUUUUUUUAACUUGAUAUACCUUAAUACGGUCUACAUUCUAUAUGUGAUAAUAACUUUGUUUUAUUUUUUUUCCUUCUCUCUUUGUUCAUACAAUUCUACACAGUAUCUUAUGAUAAUUUUUACGUUUAGGAAUGAACAGUCAAUUUUAAUUAUUACGAUAAAAUAAAGCAAGUUAUUUUUAAGUUGUUUAUAUUACUUUAUACUCGUUUCUGUUCGUUUGGCGUUUAGGACCGAACGACAAUGGAAUAAAAUCAAAAAAUAUUAUAUGUAAGUACUUUACGAAUUUUGUGGUGAAAUUAAAUAAAAUGAACCUUGUGUAGUGUUUUAUUUGUCCUAGAUUUUAACUUGUCUUGUGGCUGUCUCAGGGGCUCACGUCUUGUGAGUACGGGUCUGGCGAACUCGAGGUGCCCUAGCUGGGCGCUCACUUUGUUUCAACUUGUCUUUGGUGAGGUCCUCUAUUUUCUUUUCUGUAUAGAUCUUCCUUGAUCAACUCUUGUUUUCUUCCUAUUUUCGUUCUUUUUUUCUUCCUUUUAAGACACGAUAGAAGAAGGCUCCAAUGAAUGUUUUUAGAGAAGCUUGUUUACCUUCAUGAAGAUGUUCAACCAGUGCAUUGGAGAUUAUUUUCUGCUAAAAAUAUCAUCUGCCUCUAGAGCCUGAAUGUUGUCAACAAAUAUGGAUAAUGCAUUAGUGUUCCCAAACAGUGCACAAGUUUCCAUCUACAUCGCACCAUGAUCCAGGUCCACUACGUGCAUCUUUUUUGAUACACCUUGUAUAUAUUGUAUUUUA